rnacentral:tRNA from 1 species
AGUCUUGUAGCUUAGGUGGUGCGAGCGCACCCCUGAUAAGGGUGAGGUCGGUGGUUCAAGUCCACUCAGGCCUACCA